AUGGAUUUAACAGUUCUCACCAAGCAAGUGUUUCACUCAAUCACUCAAGUGUUUAGGAGGUCACUCUACUCUCUACUAUUCACAUGUCUCAUAAAACAAUAUUGUCAUUCAUCUAAAACAAUCAAAAUCUUCACAUGCAUAUGUCAUCACAAGGACUUUUUCCAAGGCUUUUAUUAUGGCUGGGCUAUCAAGAAAAUUGGUUUUUCUGGAAUACAAAAUCCUUGAGUUAAGAGAGUUUAAUUCAUCAUUCAAAGUUCAAGCUCUUUUUAACCAAUCUCACUCAUUCCCAACUUUUUCCCUUUUCAUUUUACAUUGAGUUCUUCUUUACAUGCUUUUCUCUUUUCUUCUUUUCUUUUCUUUCACAUGCAUUUUUCUUUUUCAUAUUUUGAACUCAAUGCUUUUUACUUUUUCCUUUUACUUUCCCCAUACAACCCCAAACUUGAACCUUUUUAUCACAUAUAAUUAUUCUCAACCCCAACUCAAGGUAAAUCAAUUCAAACAAGGGUUUUCAUACUAUUUAAGGCCAAGG
rnacentral:lncRNA from 1 species